rnacentral:rRNA from 1 species
UACGUAGGUGGCAAGCGUUGUCCGGAAUUAUUGGGCGUAAAGCGCGCGCAGGUGGUUUCUUAAGUCUGAUGUGAAAGCCCACGGCUCAACCGUGGAGGGUCAUUGGAAACUGGGGAACUUGAGUGCAGGAGAGAAGAGUGGAAUUCCACGUGUAGCGGUGAAAUGCGUAGAGAUGUGGAGGAACGCCAGUGGCGAAGGCGACUCUUUGGCCUGUAACUGACACUGAGGCGCGAAAGCGUGGGGAGCAAACAGG